GAUGAACGCUGACAGAAUGCUUAACACAUGCAAGUCUUUGGCGAAGCUGUGCUUGCACAGCCUAGCCAAGGCGGACGGGUGAGUAACGCGUAAGGAACUUGCCCUGCAGUCAGGGAUAACAGACGGAAACGACUGAUAAGACCUGGUAAAGUCAGGCGGACUCAUGUCCAGCCUGAUGAAAAGAGAUGCUGCAGGAGAGCCUUGCGUCCUAUUAGCUUGUUGGUGGGGUAACGGCCCACCAAGGCGAUGAUAGCUAGCCGGCCUGAGAGGGUGGACGGCCACAAGGGGACUGAGAUACGGCCCAUACUCCUACGGGAGGCAGCAGUGGGGAAUAUUGGACAAUGGGGGAAACGCUGAUCCAGCAAUUCUGUGUGCACGAUGAAGGUUUUCGGAGUGUAAAGUGCUUGCAGUAGAGAAGAAAAAAAUGACGGUACCUGCAGAAGAAGCGACGGCUAAAUACGUG
rnacentral:rRNA from 1 species